rnacentral:rRNA from 1 species
GAGUUUGAUCGUGGCUCAGAUUGAACGCUGGCGGAAUGCUUUACACAUGCAAGUCGAGCGGCAGCGCGGGGCAACCUGGCGGCGAGCGGCGAACGGGUGAGGAAUGCAUCGGAACGUACCCGAGAGUGGGGGAUAACGCCGCGAAAGCGGCGCUAAUACCGCAUAUUCUCUGAGGAGGAAAGUGGGGGACCGCAAGGCCUCACGCUCACGGAGCGGCCGAUGUCGGAUUAGCUAGUUGGUGGGGUAAAGGCUUACCAAGGCGACGAUCCGUAGCUGGUCUGAGAGGAUGAUCAGCCACACUGGGACUGAGACACGGCCCAGACUCCUACGGGAGGCAGCAGUGGGGAAUUUUGGACAAUGGGGGCAACCCUGAUCCAGCCAUGCCGCGUGCGGGAAGAAGGCC